rnacentral:misc_RNA from 1 species
AAACAUAACCUGAACAACUCACAUCUCGGAGAACCCAUACUUCAAAAUUAAAAUAGAAAAACCAAAGACAAAAGUCCCAGUAUGAGAGAGAGUACCCAUGGCACCAGAAAAAUUAAAAUUAAGUUGAAAGUGACUGCUCAACGAUAAUACAUGAGCUGUUGACCUGAAGAACUGUUGGGAUAUCCAUCAUACAGGGCAUGGGACCCACCAGAGUUCAAACCCAUGGAAGCGGCAGCAAGACCAUGUUGUCCAGUCAGCUGUACCAGCGCUUGACCUGAUAAGCCAGAUGCAGCAGCCUGGCUCAGCGCAAGUUGGCGCUGGUAGACCAACAAAUCAGUCGCAGAGUAACCUUGGUUAAUGCCAGAUGGAAGCAUCUGAUAAUGUUGAGUUGGAGGUGGUAAUGGAUUUGAAGCUGUCCCAGGGGGCGUUGGCUUGCUACCCCAUGAACACUUCAUGGGCUUCCCGCGAAUUAUUUUCCCAUUUGCCAUCUGAAUGGCAGAGGCUGCUUCUUCAUGAGCAUUAUAUCUUAUAAAUCCAAAACCUUUAUCUCUCUGUACUCGCACCUCUUCAAUUACCCCAGUCCCAAGGGCAUGAAAUUGACAAUGAAGCUCAGCUUGAGUUACCUCAUGGGAAAGAUUACCAACAUAGACAGUAGUGUAUGCAGGAUUGUUUUCAGGAGCAUCCUCAUUAGUAUUUUCUUGACCUCCU